GAUGCCCACUGAUUAGUAAAAAGAAGGUGAUCAUGGAGAGAUCCCCAACGGCCAUCGACUGAUGAAUGGACAAAGAAGAUGUGGUAUAUAAAUACAGUGGACUCUUAGUCAUCAAAAAAGAACGAAAGCGUGCCAUUUGCAACGAUGUGGAUGGAGCCAGUGUACUAUGCUAAGCCAAACAUACAGUCAUUUUGAAUAAGCUGCAGACAAAAACAGACACAAAACCAACCAACCAACGACGACAACCACCACCACCCCCCCCCCCCUCGGGGACUUAAAUCGAGCACGUGACUGUUGCCUCCAUGUAGUCAGCACGGGGGACUUUAUCGGAGAGAGGCUACGUGGAGAGCACCUCAGCGGACACACAGGACCAAGGCCCCAGGCUAUACGGGAAGCCUUACUGGAUCCUCACAGAUAACCUGUUAUACCCAGACAACCUCAACGGAAGUAGAGACAAGCUGCACCUGGCUGAAUCCUGCCUGAAUUUCUCGUGCACAGAAUCAUGAACAAUAAAAUGGUUCAUGUUUUCGGCCCCUAUGUUUGGGUGAGGUUGUACAGCAACAGAAACAGUGGCUAGCCCACUCUAGGAGAACCACUUCGAGCAAGGAUUCAUAACUCAGGCAGUAUUUGGAGUGUCUAUACUUCUGAGCCUUAUCGGGGAAUGGAAUCCGUCGUUUUCAUGUGAUUCUUAAUGGAGUCUUUGUCUCCAAAAGGACUAAGAAGCACCGAUUUAUGGGUCAUUCAAAGUUAAACACCAUCGCCAACAAAGGUUUUCAUUUUGUUUAUGAAAAUAAUCCAUGCUAUGCUAGUAAAAGAAUAAGAGUACAAAAGUAUAUUCAAUAAAAGACUGCCCCAAAAGCAUGGGGAAAAAAUUGGUGUGUAUCCUCCCAAAGUACAUAAAUACUAUGAAUCUAUUUGGAGAAAUUAAAAUGGUAUCUGUGCAUUCAUAUACACGUGUCUCUCUGCGUAUGUAUAUUCAUAUGUAAAUGAAUGACUCUGCUGAGUAUAAAAGUCAGAUCUUUGAAAUAUGAUAUAGUAG